rnacentral:rRNA from 1 species
AGCAGCAGUGAGAAUUUGCGCAAUGGGGAACCCUGACGCAGCAACGCCGCGUGAGUGAAGAAGGCUUUCGGGUCGUAAAACUCUGUCAAGUGGGAAGAACCUGUUUCGUGCCAAUACCACGGGACAUUGACGGUACCACUGAAGGAAGCACCGGCUAACUCCGUGCCAGCAGCCGCGGUAAUACGGAGGGUGCAAGCGUUAUUCGGAAUUACUGGGCGUAAAGGGCGCGCAGGCGGUCCCUUAAGUCAGGCGUGAAGCCCGGGGCUAAACCCCGGAAGUGCGUCCGAAACUAAGGGACUCGAGUACGGGAGAGGGAAGUGGAAUUCCUGGUGUAGAGGUGAAAUUCGUAGAUAUCAGGAGGAACACCGGUGGCGAAGGCGACUUCCUGGACCGAUACUGACGCUGAGGCGCGAAAGCGUGGGGAGCAAACAGGAUUAGAGACCCUGGUAGUCCACGCCGUAAACGAUGAACACUAGGUGUAGCGGGUAUUGACUCCUGCUGUGCCGCAGCAACGCAUUAAGUGUCCGCCUGGGACUACG